UACGUAGGGGGCGAGCGUUGUCCGGAUUUAUUGGGCGUAAAGAGCUCGUAGGCGGUUCGGCAAGUCAGAUGUAAAAACUCCAGGCUCAACUUGGAGAGGCCAUCUGAUACUGCCGUGACUAGAGUCCGGUAGAGGAGCACGGAAUUCCUGGUGUAGCGGUGAAAUGCGCAGAUAUCGGGAGGAACACCGGUGGCGAAGGCGGUUCUCUGGGCCUUACCUGACGCUGAGGAGCGAAAGCGUGGGGAGCGAACAGG
rnacentral:rRNA from 1 species